rnacentral:misc_RNA from 1 species
GUAUUAUUGAUCGCGUGCGACCGCGAAAAUAAACAUUCUACACUGUAUCGAGUUUUGUGUAAAGACGCGGGCCCUCCGGCAAAGGGGGACCCACGCGGUGAUGCACAAAGGGUGAGAUGGAUUAUUAUGUGAGGAAACACACCCGGGCGUGCACGACAUUGAGUCAGCGACAGCCCUUGCAUGCCCCUCACAUUUUGUACGAUAAUGAUCCUUCCGCAGGUUCACCUACGGAAA